rnacentral:rRNA from 1 species
AUGUCCAGGAAGAAACCUGAGCUAGGGGAACAGUGGUUUGUCAGGUGUUAUGUUAAUGGAUUAAGAGAUGGGAUAAAAUUUCAACUCAGGCCUCUCAGGCCUCAAACACUUACAGAUGCUUAUUGUUUGGCUAGAGAUAUUGAACCUUGCCACCCUCCCAUAAGUGUAGCACCAAAGAAGCAAGGAGUCCCAUACAACAAUGUUUACCAGAAGUCUAGCUGGCAUUCCCAAGCAAAGCAGAGCACCCCUUUGCAACAGCAGUCACUACCUGUCAGACAAGUAGAAGCCCCUGUUACUAACACUCAAAAAGUGAGAAAAGUGGGGGAAUGCUGGCGAUGUGGGGACAGGUGGGUGCAUGGACACAAGUGCAGACUAAUACCAAAUGUCCAUAUGUUGCAACAGGAGGAGGGGAGCAGCAACAAGAAGAAAUAG